AUGAGAUUGGUGCAUGAUCUCUUACUGAAUGUGCAGGGAGAGAGAGAAUACUUGUUCCACUUAGAAUGCCAGUUAUACCUGAGAGGAGAGAGUGAACAGGGAGCGGGGCUUUUGUCUGUUUGUUACCCAGAACUCUUUGUCUGGGUCAGUCAAGAACCAUUUCCAAACAAGAACAUGGAGGGAAGGCUUCGUAAGGGAAGACUUCCUGUCCCAAAGGAAGUGAACCGCAAGAAGAACGAUGAGACAAACGCUGCCUCCCUGACUCCACUGGGCAGCAGUGAACUCCGCUCCCCAAGAAUCAGUUACCUCCACUUUUUUUAAUCGUAACACCUCCAUUUGUAUUACAUAUGGUGUAUGGGUAUUGAUGAGGUCAUGGUAUCAUAUAUGGGAUUUUUUUCUGUGUAAAUCAUCAAGUAUAAGAAGAAACUAUGGGACUCUGAGCCUUGCUUUAGAGAAUUUACAGUGGACAAGUAGGUAUCAUCAAACCAGUUUUUAAUCAUUCUGACUCAAGUGAAAACGCUCAGAAUUUCACACUGUGAAUCCACGUUUACAACCCUUACAGGUGGGCCUUCAGGCCUGGUUCGCUACAACAAUGUCUUCCACAACUCAAACUCCCACCGCGCUCACACAACCGGUCCACUCCUGCCUUUUCACUCACACAGCUCCCGACUGCUUCUUGCAGAGGCUGAGAGUCCCCCCCUUUUUUUUUUCAUUUAGAUGUAACAAACCUAGUAGUUUAUGUUCAUCAAUUGUCUGUAUAUCUCUAUAUUUUAUCCAUGUACUCUUUUGAUGUAUAGAAGUAGUUUGAAACUCAUUGUUUCCUUGUGGUAAGUGACCGAGAUGCUGCCACAGGACCUGAGACACUGAUGAAUGGUGCUAUUUUGGACUUUCAACAUGCUCCUUGGCGAGGUAGCUCUGAUGGAGUUAUUUUUUAUUUCCAUGUUCUAAGAAGGUGUUGGUAC